rnacentral:rRNA from 1 species
AUUGAACGCUGGCGGCAUGCUUUACACAUGCAAGUCGAACGGUAACAGGCCGCAAGGUGCUGACGAGUGGCGAACGGGUGAGUAAUGCAUCGGAACGUGCCCAGUCGUGGGGGAUAACGCAGCGAAAGCUGUGCUAAUACCGCAUACGCUCUAUGGAUGAAAGCGGGGGACCGAAAGGCCUCGCGCGAUUGGAGUGGCAGAUGUCGGAUUAGGUAGUUGGUGGGGUAAAGGCUCACCAAGCCAACGAUCUGUAGCUGGUCUGAGAGGACGACCAGCCACACUGGGACUGAGACACGGCCCAGACUCCUACGGGAGGCAGCAGUGGGGAAUUUUGGACAAUGGGCGCAAGCCUGAUCCAGCAAUGCCGCGUGCAGGAAGAAGGCCUUCGGGUUGUAAACUGCUUUUGUACGGAACGAAAAGGCUCUGGUUAAUACCUGGGGCUCAUGACGGUACCGUAAGAAUAAGCACCGGCUAACUACGUGCCAGCCGCCGCAGUAAUAC